CUUUAUUAUCAGGGUGGGGAGGCGGCUGAGCUGAAACAGAAAGUAAAGUUGUUCUUUUGUUCAGGAUCCAUUUUGAGACGACAGAGCAGAAAAGACUACAUAGAGAUUAUUGAAAAAUAAAGGGUCAGUGCUCUAAAAUGAGUCUCUCUGGGGAGAGAGAGGAGGGGGGCCCUGACUCUAAAAUGAGUCUCUCUGAGGAGAGAGAGGAGGGGGGCCCUGCCUCUAAAAUGAGUCUCUCCGGGAAGAGAGAGGAGGGGGGCCCUGCCUCUAAAAUGAGUCUCUCCGGGAAGAGAGAGGAGGGGGGCCCUGCCUCUAAAAUGAGUCUCUCCGGGAAGAGAGAGGAGGGGGGCCCUGCCUCUAAAAUUCAUCUCUCUGAGGGACAUGACACCAAAGCUAAGAGGUAAGAUGAUAAUUUUAUGAAUAAUUUAUAAAGUUUAUUUCCAAAAUAAAUAGCUAUCUUAAGAUGAAUGCACUUACUGUAAAUCGUUCUGGAUAAGAGCAUCUGCUAAAUCAGGGUUCUCAAUCCGGGGUCUGUGGAGGUACUGCAGGGGUUCUCAAUCCGGGGUCUGUGGAGGUACUGCAGGGGUUCUCAAUCCGGGGUCUGUGGAGGUACUGCAGGGGUUCUCAAUCCGGGGUCUGUGGAGGUACUGCAGGGGUUCCUCGCCACCCUGACUGUACUCGUUGCAAUGUCAGACAUUUGAU